UUUGAUUAGUACAUACUACAUACAUACAUACAUACAUACAUACGUAUGCAAAUAAACUAUAGAAUUCAGUUGUUGUAUAGAAUUGUUGUUGUUGUGAUUGUGUUUGAAGCAAGCGUCUAGUGAUGAUAGUGGGGAAAAACAAAUGCCGUGGACUCGACUCACCUGUGCUAAGAGUAAUGCGGUGAGCAGCAGCAGCAGCAGCAGCAGUGGCAGCAUCGCUUUCUUCCACAUUCUCUCAGCGAAAAAAUGCUAUACCACACACCAAUGACUGAGAUGCAACUGAAAUUGUUUAUCAUGUCUAUAGUCUUUUAUACAUUACACUUAAUAAAAGAGAAAUUGCAAUA